ensembl:lncRNA RPL23AP7 ribosomal protein L23a pseudogene 7
GCAGGGAGUGCGCAUGCGGCCGAGUGCGGGACUGGGGCUCCUGGCUGUGGGUGUGGUACCGAGGCUUCAGCGGGUGCCGCCCGCCUAGAGGGAGUGGAGCGAGAGCCUACGACUAGAUUUGCAUCUUUACGUCCUGCGCGGAGGCUGCUACACACAUGCAGAAGUCAUGCUGGUGGCCUGGACAGUGAAGGGAGAGAAGUGGAUUUGGGAGACAUUUAGGAGAAGAAUCCCAGACUUCUUAGAGAACCCAGUGACUUUUUGCACCUUAAAUCUGUGAAAUCCUCAUGUUUUCUUCUGCCGUAUCCAUAGUUCAAACAAAGAUGAGGCAAAGCUAGAUGCAUUCCUGAAGGAACCCAAGAAAUUCCUCUCUUUAUUUCUCUGGAAUGAAAUGAAUUCUCUAGACCACCAGUUCUAACCUUCAAAAACCAAACCUGUUUGUGAGAUCUCCUUCAAAUACUACUGUAGACCCCAGUGUUUAUUCAUUAAAUUUUUAAAAUAUUUGUUUUAUUUGGAA